rnacentral:rRNA from 1 species
AAUAGAUACCCCGGUAGUCCACCCCGUAAACGUUGGGAACUAGUUGUGGGGUCCUUUCCACGGAUUCCGUGACGCAGCUAACGCAUUAAGUUCCCCGCCUGGGGAGUACGGCCGCAAGGCUAAAACUCAAAGGAAUUGACGGGGACCCGCACAAGCGGCGGAGCAUGCGGAUUAAUUCGAUGCAACGCGAAGAACCUUACCAAGGCUUGACAUACACCGGAAACGGCCAGAGAUGGUCGCCCGCAAGGUCGGUGUACAGGUGGUGCAUGGUUGUCGUCAGCUCGUGUCGUGAGAUGGUUAGGGUUAACGUCCCGCAACGAGCGCAACCCUCGUUCUAUGUUGCCAGCACGUAAUGGUGGGAACUCAUGGGAUACUGGCCGGGGUCAACUCGGGAGGAAGGUGGGGAUGACGUCAAAUCAUCAUGCCCCUUAUGUCUUGGGCUUCACGCAUGCUACAAUGGCCGGUACAAAGGGCUGCAAUACCGUGAGGUGGAGCGAAUCCCAAAAAGCCGGUCCAGUUCGGAUUGAGGUCUGCAACUCGACCUCAUGAA